rnacentral:rRNA from 1 species
UACGUAGGGGGCAAGCGUUGUCCGGAAUCAUUGGGCGUAAAGAGCGCGUAGGCGGCCCAGUAAGUCCGCCCUGAAAGUCAGGGGCUCAACCCCUGGAUGCGGGUGGAUACUGCUGGGCUAGAGUCCGGAAGAGGCGAGUGGAAUUCCUGGUGUAGCGGUGAAAUGCGCAGAUAUCAGGAGGAACACCGAUGGCGAAGGCAGCUCGCUGGGACGGUACUGACGCUGAGGCGCGAAAGCGUGGGUAGCAAACAGG